GAGGAUAUAGCUCAGUGGCAGAGCACAUGCUUGGCAUGCAUGAGGUCCUGGGUUUGAUCCCCAGUAUCUCCA